AGAGAGCAUGACAUUUGUGU
rnacentral:piRNA from 1 species